AAUGAACGCUGGCGGCGUGCCUAACACAUGCAAGUCGUACGAGAAAGGGGCUUCGGCCCUGAGUAGAGUGGCGCACGGGUGAGUAACGCGUGGGUAAUCUCCCCUUGGAUUUGGGAUAACUCUGCGAAAGUGGAGCUAAUACCGGAUAGUCUGGCUUUAAUUGAUAAGUCGGUAAAGGAUGCCUCUGCAUAUGCAUUCGUCCAAGGAUGAGCCCGCGUCUCAUUAGCUAGUUGGUAGGGUAAUGGCCUACCAAGGCUACGAUGGUUAGCUGGCCUGAGAGGGCGGCCAGCCACACUGGAACUGAGACACGGUCCAGACUCCUACGGGUGGCUG
rnacentral:rRNA from 1 species